UUGCGCUCUGUAAGGUCAUGACCUGUGUGUGCGGAAAAAGCCUAAAAUGAGCCUGGUUUAAGAGCUACCACAGGUGCUGGACUCUUCUAGAAAACCUGUCGCGUCUGUUUGGUCUCCUUUAUAACACCGUUAACUGGUUGGAAUAUACCAAUAAAUAUGCUGUUACUGCUCAAACAAACCACUUCCUUGUGUUGCCAUCUUCAAUCAAAAUGUAGACUGCUAUAGCUGGGGAGGAUGAAGAUUUAGCACCACACACUAUCUUCUUAUCUUCCCAUUCUGCUUUCAACAUAAACCAGAGACGAUUAGGAACACAGCUGAAAGCAAGUUAAAUUUAUUAUUUUCUGCAACAAAGAAGACCCUACAUCAUAGAGA